rnacentral:rRNA from 1 species
AUUGAACGCUGGCGGCAUGCCUUACACAUGCAAGUCGAACGGAUUCUUGGGGCUUGCUCCAAGAGUUAGUGGCGAACGGGUGAGUAAAGCAUCGGAACGUGCCCAAUCGUGGGGGAUAACGUAGCGAAAGUUACGCUAAUACCGCAUACGUCCUGAGGGAGAAAGCAGGGGACUCGCAAGAGCCUUGCGCGAAUGGAGCGGCCGAUGUCGGAUUAGCUAGUUGGCGGGGUAAAGCCCACCAAGGCGACGAUCCGUAGCUGGUCUGAGAGGACGACCAGCCACACUGGGACUGAGACACGGCCCAGACUCCUACGGGAGGCAGCAGUGGGGAAUUUUGGACAAUGGGCGCAAGCCUGAUCCAGCCAUGCCGCGUGAGUGAAGAAGGCCUGGUU